AAGAGAGGGAUCAAGGGCGGCUUUAGAGAAGAGAAGAUGCCUCAGCUCGAUGAAGAGUCCAGGGGGCACCCAAUGGAAGAGUGCACUCCAAGCACAGAGCAUGGCAUUUUCAGAGCCUGGAAGAAGUGAAACCUAUCAGAAGUGAUUGAAAUGGCCCAGAUCAGAGAUGGUUGAGGCCAGGACUAACGCAAUGGCAAUGAAGAGAAAAGAAAGAGGGCUGAUUUGAGAGAAAACAACACAAAAGACACUUGGGGAUUGAUUGGAUGUAAGCCUGGAGAUGAUCUAGAGGACAAAGAGGCAUCCAGAGGGGGAUGGAUCCAGAAAGUCAACAAAAAGCGACUUGAACUUCCCGAUGUAUCUGGCAGAGGCAGCCUUCUCACAGAAGUUACAAAUUCAAAAGGCUCCAAAGAUGCAUAUCAUGCCCAGAGGCAGAUGAAACACACUGCAUGGUCACUGAACCCAGAGGUUCUCCUGAAAAAGUGUAUUUCAGUCUCAGUCAUUGUCUGGAAAUUCAAAGUACCACUGUGGCUCAAGAACCCUCAUUGUCCUGACAUGUGGAGCCUCCUGACUGCACCUGAAAGCACUGACCCAAGGCUCCCACCUGGGAUGAAAGGUGCAGAUGUCUCACCCAGCCAACAAGCCAGAUUCUCUGUGAGUGUCUCCAGAUGCAGCAAACUUGUUCAUCCCAAGUGCCUGCUCCAGGCGAGGUCUUGUAGCUCCUGAGGCACUUUCUUUUUUGUUAAAUAAGAACAAGCUAAUUGCUGUUCAAAACUUGAAUUUUUUGUUUACACUAAACAGACUUUAGGAUACAAAUUUCAUAGUAAAGGUUGAUUUAAAACCAUUAUAAUCUAAUAUUAGGAAACAACUAUCUACAGCUCUCCCACGUUUCUUCAGUCUUGCAAGCAAAGGCAUUGAUAGUCUUUUCUGCACUAUCUUUCUAAGGAUGUGUGCAUAGCAAGGAGCCUUAGAAGACAGGGUCUUCUCUUAGAAGAUAGGGUCUCCCUAGAGCAAAGAUCUGGUUGGUUUAUUGCCCACUGUAAUAAAGACAAUGUCUCCCUCUGGGACAAACGGAAGGCAUGUUUACCGCCCAUUAUAAAAGAGUUCAGGUCCCCAAGGCUCAGGGUUCCUUUCCCCAGGUUCCCCACAAUGUGCCUGCAUGUUUUACUGGGCCCUAUUCACAUCACCCUGUGGGAACUGAGGCUUGGGGAAAUGGCACAAAUGUUGAUAUUCUGGCUAUUGCUAUCACUAGAAGUAAUGAAGUCCUUUGUCUCUGACCCAGGAAUUUUGUGUCUUCUGCCAGCAUCCACGGAAUUGUGGCAAGGCAGCACAUUAGCUUACAAAUAGGGUAAUGUUUCAGUUCCUUCAUAGCUCUUGACACCUAAUAGCUGCCUAGGAAAUAAUAAUUUUGAUCAGGUAAUGUCCACCUCCCCUUCUCUUUUUUUUGGAGUUGGGGUCUUGCUCUGUUACCCAGGCUGUAGUGCUGUGGCGAGACCAUAGCUCACUGCAGCCUUGAACUCCUGGGUUCAAGCUAUUCUCUUGCCUUAGAAAUAAUGCUCUUCUUUACCAACUUUUCCAGUGCCAUUCUAUGCCUAUCUUUACUUAAGGUAUAUACUUUGUCUACUUCAGAAGGACUCAAUCCCAAUUAAUGUUUCCAAAUAUGAUGCAAGAAGACACACUUCAGACAACUGUCAUUUCUAUGAGGAGAAAAAGGGAAAUUUUUAGAGACUGAGAAAUGGCAAGGCAGAAAAACUCGAUGAUUUGCAAAGGCUGCCCACAGCAGGUGUAGCAGGUAGGACCUCAGCCUUGGGUAGAGUUGCUGAAAGAUUUUGUCCAAUUGACAAAAUGGUAUCAAGUAGCAGCAGUCAGGUGAGGCAGGGAGGGAGGCAGCCCUGAGUCAUAGAACCACAAGGAAUCUAGUUUCCUGCCAAUUCAUGAAACACUGAACUGGAGGCAUCCAAAAGGUUUAUGCAAGAGAACUAGCAUGCAGUGUUAGGCUGAUGAUGGACAAUAUUCCAUUGCUACCGUGCCAGUUGGAAAUAGGAUACCAGAUGUUUCUGAUUUCUGCUGUGUGGAUUAGAUAACCUCAGAGAGUCCCUACACCUGAAGGAGACUCAGAACAUCUUCCACAACGAAGAUGACAAAGACAGUCAACGCUAACAAUGAUGACAGCCAAAAGGACAAAUGGAUGCCCACAGGAAAAAUCAUUUAGACAAACUAAACAUUUCAUGAUACUCUAUGUCUAAAUUUUAUUUCCAGGUUUGAGGAUCAGGAGGCUACAGGAAUCGCCAUAUUUACCCAUACUUUAAAUGCCUGCAUCUGUGACAGGAAGUAUCAUUAACCUUUGUCAAUAAUGUCUGCUGGUGAGUAGGCCAUGGCCAUAUAGGCCGUAUAUAUCCCCAGGGCCAAACAAUCAGACAUUUGGAAAUACCCUGGAAUCCAAUUACAGGUAGAGAAAAAAAUCACUGUCAAACGUAUUUUUCCUUGACAUAAAUAAAAAUAAUAUAGUGUGGCAUCAUUUUCAAAUGUAUCUGUGAUGUAUUAUUUCUGUGUGCAAUAUGGAGAGUAUCAAGCUCAUAAUAAAAUACUGUAGACAUAAUUUUGCUUUCAUGGCUAGGUUAGUGGGUGAAAGCCACUUCUAAAUUCUUGACAGCUGCUUCCUUCCACUGGGAAAUGCCAUUUAUCUCCACCUGGCCUCAGGAGGGACUCGUUUACAAGAGGGAGCAAGGAGGGAACAUAGUUCUAGCUCUCUAGAGAAGGCAGCUUAACCCCGGGAUGCCCUCCAGGGACCACCAUCAACAUAUGGUUUUCAGGUGAGUAGUUUCUCUCUAUUCUGUUUCCAUGAAAUAGGUUACCUGGAUCUGACAUAAAUUGUGAUAAGAGGUUAUCUGGCUAUCUUGACUUUACUUAUGGGUACACAGAUUAUUAUUAUUAGUUUUCAUCCUCAGAGAAACUUUCUCAAGAAUUAUGUUGAAGAACUCUAUCCUAAUAAGAACACUGUACCUUUUCUGACAAAGAGAAUCACUUAGGUGCUUUCAGAAUCAUCUAUGAGUUUCUAAAAAUAAUAGGAAAUAAACUUACUAAGUAGAUAUUCUGAUGUCUACCCCCAGGGAUCAGUGAAAAUAAGGAAAAGAUAUCAAAGCAAUGAAUGAAGAGAUGCCUUUCCAUGUUUGCCCAAACUUUGGGCUGGCUGACUCCAUUAAUUCCAACACAGUGCAAACAGGAGCGUGUAGUCUCAAUAUUUUAAGACCGACAUUACUCAUCCAUGACUGAGCCAUCUGCCUGGGACAAUCUUCCAUGGCUCAGGGAUCGGGAGUAACGGGAUGUCACGGGAAGCUGUGGAGGAGCCGGCCCGCUCCAGCAGAAUGAGCCAAGGUUUGGAGAGCCAGCAAAGAAUUGGACAGACAAUAUCGUUCCAUUAUAUCCAGUUCUGCUAAGGUCAUGGAGUCCGGCCUUGUUUAAAUUAAACUUUAUGCCAUAUUUAGUCAACCCUCCUAGAAUUAAAAGCUUAAUGCCUCUGCUGUCUUCAAUUGGCUAAGUCUACAUCAGGCUGUAAGCCAUAACACUUGACUAAAGCAAACAGUGCUAGCAGGAGGGUUAGUCAACACACACUGUGUAAACGCUGCUGAGAACCAUCCCUGUGUUAAUGUGAAAGAAAACGGACCCACAGUAUGCAGAGCAGGCAGGAAAACAGCUGAUGCUCAAGGCUGCAGUGUACAAUAUCAUCGCGCCUCUCCAAAUAAAGUGAAGAAGACAGAAUAUCUCCCAGGAGAGCUUGCCUGUCUGUACAUAAGGACGUACACACACACACCCACAUCCAACCAUGUGCCAGUAAUUUUUACAAUUUGAAUUAUUUUCCUUCUUCCAUAUUUACCUUCUAUUUUCACUAGGUCCACAUUUUUCUUUGCUUGCUGUAAUUAAUUUUAUUCUCCUUCAGUUUAAUUUAAACCAGACUAACAGUUCCUCGGGUAAGAACAUUCGAAUGUUGGUCACUUGAUUGGGCAGACCCACAUCUCAAAAUGAUAAAGUAUUAAAUGAAUAUUCCAGUAUUUAGGAUUAAAUGUUAAAGUAAAGCUUAUUUUCCAUAUUCUCCUUUUUCCAUGGCCAUACAUUGACAACUUUGAUGAAUCAUUUUGCUUUAAUAUAAGUGGCUCUGAAGACGUCUAGUUUGUUAGUGACCAGGCAGUUGCAGUCACAACCCCCCUCCCCCAACAAAGUGUACCCAUAGUUGCUGUCUCAGUAUUAGCCUGCAGGUUGAAAUCAUCACUACUGCCCUGAGGAAGCCUGUCUGAUGUUAACCUGUUCAUUUUCCCUCUACUCUCCCUGUACUCAC
rnacentral:lncRNA from 1 species